rnacentral:rRNA from 1 species
GUCCACGCUAUAAACGUUGGGCACUAGGUGUGGGAGGUAUUGACCCCUUCCGUGCCGUAGCUAACGCGAUAAGUGCCCCGCCUGGGGAGUACGGCCGCAAGGCUAAAACUCAAAGGAAUUGACGGGGGCCCGCACAAGCAGCGGAGCGUGUGGUUCAAUUCGAUGCUACGCGAAGAACCUUACCAGGGCUUGACAUGCUGGUGGUACUGAUCCGAAAGGUGAGGGACCCUUCGGGGAGCCAGCACAGGUGUUGCAUGGCUGUCGU